GUGAGAGGGGGCUAGGUGAUGACUGGCAGUAGCCACUGAGGCAAGGUGGGCAUAGAGGGUUGAGGGGUUCCCCUGGGAGGGGAGACCCAGAGUGUGGGGUAUUGCUGGGGGCAGAACCCCAAGGAAAGGGACACCGGGUCCGGGAGCGACACGGGGGCCUGAGGCAGGCGAGACACCGGUCAGCAGAGGGUGCUCCGAAACUGGAAAAGAGCUAAUUUCCAGAUGACCAGCAGGAGGCACCGCACUGAACAGAAUGAGAUCUUCUAACCCAGGGACAUGAUCAAGGCUGCUGCCCUGAGCAGUGAGGAAGGUUUUCUACCUUCUUAGCAGAACUGACCUGUGAAGAGGACCUAAUGAGAAGGUAAUCCAGAUAAGGAUAGACCUAUACAGACAUGUAUCCCUUUUACAUGAAGGGAGGAAGGACUACAAUCUUUGUGAAUACCUGUGUGAUUCAUAGAUGUUAAGGACAGAAGGGACCAUUAUGAUCAUCUAGGCUGACAGUCUGCAUAAUACAAGUCACAGAAUUUCACCACGUGUUCAAACAUGUAACUUCUGGUUGAGCUAGAGUAUCUGUUAGAAAGGUAUCAAAUGCUGAUUUAAGGACCUCAAGUGACAGAGGAUCCAUCACAUUCUGAGAAAAGUUGUUCCGAUGGUUAAUUAUUAGUGCCAGCCUGAUGAUUCUGACUGGAAGGAAGAAAGGACUUUACUCCAUUGUCUGUGGCAUCAGUGAUUGCUUUGUCUGAAUCACUUCACUCCAAGUUCCCUGCUGCUUGGUCCUAGUCAAGUGGAGGCUGACUACCCAGCAUGAGGAGGGAGCCAGAGAUGCUAGAGACAAAUAACUUGAACCAACUGGCUUCAGGAGCAGCUGGCACCUUUUAUAACAGCUGAGGCAGUGAAGAGCCUGAACCAAACUCCAAAGUAGAGAGGAGAGACACUCAUCUUGAAGAACCUCAGUUACUGCACAAGAUGAGUAACCUUCUCUUCUUUUUCAAGAGAGAUGUCCCUGUGGGUGCUCCACUCCAGGUUUUUACAGGACUGCAGAGCUCCAUCUCAGACCAGAGACAGUUGGGAAGGAACUGAGGAGUCCGGGUCGCACACGCGAUACUUCAACCGCCAACGGUGCGUGAGGUACUGCGUGUGCACGGCCCGUACGGGCACUGCUGUCAAAGUGAGCGAAGGCGCAGGGGCGCACCACUACCUGGAGUGGAGCACCCACAGGGACACUCAUCUCAAAGAAGAAUUUCAUGUUUAAAGUAUUAACCCUGCUUUAAAUGGAAAUCUCAAUGCAACCUUAACUCCGGAGCCACUAGAGCUCCUCCAUAACACAGACACUUUAUGUUCAAUGACUUACAUAUAGAGAAACCUAAAGGAAAGAAAUUACCUUUUCCUCUAAACAUUACCGUUCAGAUAGAUUUCCUAUUAGACAUUUAUUCUCAAGAAUUUAUUUGAACUUUGUAGUAAAAAUUCUCUCUAAGCUAAAAUUUGAUUAAGUUCCUAAACCCAGACUAAACCGAUUAAUUUACUGCUAUCAUUUUAAUUAUAUGGCCAGGAUGGGGGACCCAAGAAACAAGCCAAUAUGUCAGGGAAAGACUUCCCCUGAACAGAAACAUCAAUUAGAAACUUGUUUCAGAGGCAGACAGAUUUUAUAUAGAUCUCCUCUUUAGGAAGCCAUCCAAAAAAAAUCUAGGUCAGCAUUUGGCCACUCCGCUGCCCUAGUUUCACACCCUGUACUUAGCUGUGAUUACUAAUAUGCUACAAAGUAAGUAUAUUACUAUUAGCUACAACAUACAUGUGAGAUUCUAAACUGACACAUGAAGCUAUAUUAGCACAGACUCAAACAGUCCUAUAUGAUACACAGGUGCAUUUAAGUCGGCCAGCGUCCCAGGGAAUUAGAUUUUACAAAUAGUCAGUGAUCUGAAACUGUCCUAUGUGCUGCAUCUGCUGUACCUUGAGGGACUUAGGUGUGUGCAUUAGAAUGUAAAUUUCCUGAUGUCUGUGGGACCAAUUAACACCCAUAAUAUUAAAGGAAUGUUUGGCAGUCUUGCUAUUUUCCUCUUAAAUAUAAUUAUGAAUAAAAAAAUCUACUCUAGCUUGCAACAGAUGAUUUAGUGGAUAGAACACUAAACUGGGGCUCAGAAGACCGGGGUUCAAUUCCUGAUUCAGCCACAGACUUCCCUACACCUCACAAUGUUGUGAGGCUCAUGGCUUGUCUACACUUGAAAUGCUGUUGCAUCUGCACCAGUGUAGACACUACCUACACCAAUGGAAGGGGUAUUUAGGUUCUUAUACCAAACCUGUUGCCAUGGCAUCUGAGCACCCGGUAAAGUAUUGUUCCCAUUUCACAGACUGAGAAAUGGUGGCAGGGAGAGAGAAAGCCAGUGAACAGUAGCACGUUACUCUACAUAGGCUCACUAGCACAGCUGCCAUGCUGCUACAUGGCAGAGUUGUGCUCUUAAUUACUGUACAUUUCCUGUCCUCUCACAAGACCUUAAAUAGACUGCCAGGAUUCCCAGCCAAUGUUGUGACACUGAGCAGGAGAGUGCUAGCCACAAAAUCACAGCUUUGGGACAAGGUUUCAUUUUAAAACUCUUUUUUAUAUUAAGUUAGUCCAAUAAAAGAUAUCCCCUCACCCACCUUGAGCUAGCACAAUCUAACACCUUCAAAAGCUCUAGUCACACAAGGCAAACUGGACGUCAGCAUGUGCUAAGUUGGAUGAAUUAAAGCAUAAGGGGAAGCCUUGUCUUGACUUUUAGAGUGUGUUAGAUCAAGCUAGCUAAUGUGACCUAACAGCCACCCAAUGCCACCGGUGCACAUCUCUGUUCUUUCAAAAUAUGCCAGGUGAUCUUUAAUUUCUGCAGAUCCUAUAAGCCCUCUGAUUUUAGAAGAUCUCAUCUGAAUGACCUACACAUGCAGUACACUGCACGGAGUUCCAAAGCAUGUAGGGUUGAAUUAAUCUUACUGGGACGUGAAUCUAUGGUUCCAGGGAGUCUUGGUGUUUCACAACUGAUGACUAUCAUGCACACUCUCACCCUAAAAUUGGCACAAGACUAGCACGGCAAAAUGGAACAUUUCUGCGGCUCUCGGUGAGACAGAUUGGUGACUAAAUCUUUUGCUGACUGUGAUUUUUUCCUUUUCCAGUUGUUAGUGAGAGGAAGUAACAUUGCUGAGGCUCAGUGUCAGUAAAGCUCAGUUCCUGUUAUCAGGGCUGAUUACUGCAGCGUCAAACUCACAUGUAACUGGAAAGUUUGCACCAAUUUAGGGUGGCUGAGUUCAUCUACGCCUCCUAAACUGAUAUUAAAGGUCUUUUCCUUCCUUUAUGGGAGGAGUCAGGUCAACUCUUCCAAUAUGGUCUAUGCAAAGAAAUUCUGGGAAAACACUUGAAAGAACAUAUCCCCACAGCUUCUCUCUAUAACAAAAACAAAGCACAAGGAGGGGCUGGGUGGCUCAGGGAACUGAUCUAAGUUAAUUGCCUGCAACUGGAGGGUUCAAAACUGGUUCAACUCGAUGAUGACUGUUGUCGUUACAGGUGAUGGCUUUUUGAGGCUAUUGCGAAAUGAGUAGGUGGUGUCAGUCUGAUUCCCAGGGUCAGGUAUCCACAGCUCAAGACAUCAUAACUAGCAUCUUACUGGUCACCUCAGGAAAAGUUCCAAGAUUGAGAUUAAUAAGAACAUAAGAAUGGCCAUACUGGGUCAAACCAAAGGUCUAUCCAGCCCAGUAUCCUGUCUGCUGACAGUGGCCAAUGCCAGGUGCCCCAGAGGGAGUGAACCUAACAGGUAAUGAUCC